UACGGAGGGUGCGAGCGUUGUCCGGAAUCACUGGGCGUAACGGGCGCGUAGGCGGCCUGGCAAGUCGGUGGUGAAAGCCCGGGGCUCAACUCCGGAAUUGCCUUUAAGACUGCAUCGCUCGAAUUGUGGAGAGGUAAGUGGAAUUCCGAGUGUAGAGGUGAAAUUCGUAGAUAUUCGGAAGAACACCAGUGGCGAAGGCGACUUACUGGACACAUAUUGACGCUGAGGUGCGAAAGCGUGGGGAGCAAACAGG
rnacentral:rRNA from 1 species